CCUACGGGUGGCAGCAGUGAGGAAUAUUGGUCAAUGGACGAGAGUCUGAACCAGCCAAGUAGCGUGAAGGAUGACUGCCCUAUGGGUUGUAAACUUCUUUUAUAUGGGAAUAAAACGUUCCACGUGUGGGAUUUUGUAUGUACCAUAUGAAUAAGGAUCGGCUAACUCCGUGCCAGCAGCCGCGGUAAUACGGAGGAUCCGAGCGUUAUCCGGAUUUAUUGGGUUUAAAGGGAGCGUAGGUGGAUUGUUAAGUCAGUUGUGAAAGUUUGCGGCUCAACCGUAAAAUUGCAGUCGAAACUGGCAGUCUUGAGUACAGUAGAGGUGGGCGGAAUUCGUGGUGUAGCGGUGAAAUGCUUAGAUAUCACGAAGAACUCCGAUUGCGAAGGCAGUUCACUGUACUGCAACUGACACUGAGGCUCGAAAGUGUGGGUAUCAAACAGGAUUAGAUACCCUAGUAGUC
rnacentral:rRNA from 1 species